rnacentral:tRNA from 1 species
ACAGAGAUAGUUCAAGGGAAGAACAUCUGGCCUCAUAAGCCAGAGAUACGUGGCUCAACUCCACGGCUCUGUC